rnacentral:rRNA from 1 species
GACGAACGCUGGCGGCGUGCUUAACACAUGCAAGUCGAACGAUGAAGCCGGAGCUUGCUCUGGUGAAUUAGUGGCGAACGGGUGAGUAACACGUGGGUAACCUGCCCAUAAGACUGGGAUAACUCCGGGAAACCGGGGCUAAUACCGGAUAACAUUUUGAACCGCAUGGUUCGAAAUUGAAAGGCGGCUUCGGCUGUCACUUAUGGAUGGACCCGCGUCGCAUUAGCUAGUUGGUGAGGUAACGGCUCACCAAGGCAACGAUGCGUAGCCGACCGGAGAGGGUGAUCGGCCACACUGGGACUGAGACACGGCCCAGACUCCUACGGGAGGCAGCAGUAGGGAAUCUUCCGCAAUGGACGAAAGUCUGACGGAGCAACGCCGCGUGAGUGAUGAAGGCUUUCGGGUCGUAAAACUCUGUUGUUAGGGAAGAACAAGUGCUAGUUGAAUAAGCUGGCACCUUGACGGUACCUAACCAGAAAGCCACGGCUAACUACGUGCCAGCAGCAGCCGCAG